UAUAAACGUGGCUUUGGUAAUCUUAAAUCCGAAUUCUGGCUUGGAUUGGACAAGAUACAUCGACUAACAUCUGCAAGGAAAAAUAAACUUCGAAUUGAUCUUGUAAACACGUCAGGCACUAAAAAAUACGCUGAAUAUGACGAUUUUGUUGUAAAGGAUGAAAAUUAUAAGUAUCAAUUAAGUAUUGGAAAAUACACAGGAACUGCUGCGGAUCAAUUAUCCUAUCACAAUAACAUGAAGUUUUCAACCAAAGAUUCAGAUAAUGAUAAAGAUAGUAGAAAUUGCGCUACUUCCUUCAAAGGUGCUUGGUGGUAUAAAAGUUGUUAUGGUUCCAACCUAAAUGGUAAAAAUAUGUAUUGGUCUAGUUUUAACGUGAAAACAAGUGAAAUGAAAAUUAAACCAUGAUGACUUUUCAUAAAUAACUGCAGUUUUUUUAGUUUUACCUUGCUGUAAGCUGCCUUCUUUAAAGUGGGCUGCCUUCUUUAAAGAUUAUUUUGUAAUUAUUAUACUUUAUUCUUCAUGGCAUGACUUACACAUUCAUAUAGCACGUUGUGUUUUUCAAAAAAACAAAUCAUAAAAGCAAAGGAUUGAUAUCUGCUUCCUCUUAAAUUAAAAAUUUGCAAAGAUGAUCGUCAUGAAA